rfam:Trichuris suis C399075.1, whole genome shotgun sequence.
UCAAAGUGAAGAAAUUCAACCAAGCGCGGGUAAACGGCGGGAGUAACUAUGACUCUCUUGUUGUGGACUCCCCACCUGUUGGGGC